GACGAACGCUGGCGGCGUGCUUAACACAUGCAAGUCGAACGGAAAGGCCCUGCUUUUGUGGGGUGCUCGAGUGGCGAACGGGUGAGUAACACGUGUGUAACACGCACUUGACUUUGGGAUAACUCUAGGAAACUGGGUCUAUUACCGGAUAGGAGCUCUUGAUGCACGGUGGGGAUUGGAAAGUUUCGGCGGUUUUGUCUGGACUCGCGGGUAAUGAGCUUGUUUGUGUGGUAGUGGCUUACAAAGGCUUUCAAGGCUAGCCGGCCUGGGAGGGUGACCGGCGACAUUGGGACUGAGGUACGGCGCAGAAGGGUACGUGAGGCAGCAGUGGAGAAUAUUGCACAGUGGGCGGAAGCCUGAGGCAGCAACGCCGCGUGCGGGAAGACGGCCUUCGGGUUGUAAACCGCUUUCGCCUGUGACGAGGCGUGAGUGACGGUAAUGGGUAAAGAAGCACCGGCUAACUACGUG
rnacentral:rRNA from 1 species